UGUCAUUGUUAAUUAAAUUGGCUUUGAUUUUUGUUCCUUUUUUUCUUUAGACAAUUCAAUAUGUUAUGUAAUUUUUUACAAAUUUUAUUUUACUCUAUCUGCCUUUAGAUACGUGUAAAAUUAAACACUAGACUAAAAUAUGUAGGAAGUCGCGUGCAGCGUUAGAUUAUUUCUGCGCGGGCGGUUUAUUUCAGAUGCAGGAUGUAUCUACGCUCUCAAAUAAGCUUGUGGAUAAAUAAACACGAAAUGAGGUCUUUCCAACAGGAAAAUGAAAAUUAAGCAUCUAAAUUAAUCCUAAUUUAGUAGAUUUGUGUUAUUAAAUUGUAUUUGUGAAAUGAGAGCACAAGCACAAGUAAGAACUUCAGUUUGUCAAAUGAGAGCACAAGUAAAAACUUCAAGCGGGUAUUGCAUAGUUAUUACUGAAGCAAAUUAAAAAAACACGUGGAUGAAUCUGGAUAUACAAAGAUGUACAAAGAUUAGAGAUGGCCUACUAUGGAAUUGGUGCUCUAGAAAACUUAGCAUUAUUUCAUUAUUAAAUCAUAUAGAGCAAGACCGAGGGACUGCUGAUUAAUAGCCUUUGUAGCAGGCACUUGGAAGGAGAAAAAAAAUGUUACUAUAUAAAUUGUAUAUAAUGAUGUGUUGGACUUUUUAAUUUACUAACAUAGAUUAUAAGUAAUUCUUACUAACAAAAUGUUAUGGUUGUUAUGGAAAACUGAAAUAAAGUAUAAAUCUAUUAAAAAAA